GACUCUGCAGCCUUGCAAGGCUAAUACAGUAUCCUGCUACAUGGCAAGGACUCAAGGCUUCUCCCACCCAUGGAUUCUGGCAGAAAUGUUCUUUGGUGGGAGAAGGCAACAAUGCCAAAACUCCUCUCCCUCAUUUAAUCAUUACUACGGCUUUAUUUACACCAAGGUUCAGCAUGAAAAGGAUCCUCUCGCAUUAAAAGAUCUCUCCAGUGAAGUGUUACUGUUUGUGCUGAAGCUCAGAUAUGCAAUGAACUUUUUAAUUCACAGCAGCAACGAAAAAAAUAAAGUGGGAGCUUGUAUCUUAUUUGCAGUGCAUCUUCCUGCCAGUAAUAAAAAAAAAAAAAAGUCCCUUUCUGAAGCAUAUGUAACUCAUAAAAUCAGAAAAUUGCUUUGAAGCACUGGCCUUGUACAGAGCUACACUGUGUAAUUGGCUUUUUCAAGAAACCUCUGCAUCAUAUGCUUUAAGGAGCUGAUGCCUGACAAAGGAGAAGCUGCUGUGCUGUUCUGGCUGCAGCCUCGGAGCAUUUGAAUGGCUUUACCCAUUUCUGAGUGUGAAUAAACAUUAGAGGAGCCACAGAAAACAAAACAGAGACUGAAGUUCAUUCAAUGCAUUUGGUUCACUUGAAGGAGAUGUAAGUCUCCUGAAAAUGAUCUUGCUUUAGCUAUGUUUCAGACUUAUAGAUCAGGAGCUGGAGCACUGGGAAUGAGGCUCACGGACCAAUUUUUAUUUCACUGAGCUGUUGUUAUUCUGCUCCUUUGGUGAGGCUUAUUCAGGAGCGUUGUGGAGCAGGUGGAAAAGAA